rnacentral:rRNA from 1 species
AACGAACGCUGGCGGCAUGCCUAACACAUGCAAGUCGAACGAGACCUUCGGGUCUAGUGGCGCACGGGUGCGUAACGCGUGGGAACCUGCCCUUAGGUUCGGAAUAACUCCCCGAAAGGGGUGCUAAUACCGGAUAAUGUCUUCGGACCAAAGAUUUAUCGCCUUUGGAUGGGCCCGCGUUGGAUUAGCUAGUUGGUAGGGUAAAAGCCUACCAAGGCGACGAUCCAUAGCUGGUCUGAGAGGAUGAUCAGCCACACUGGGACUGAGACACGGCCCAGACUCCUACGGGAGGCAGCAGUGGGGAAUAUUGGACAAUGGGCGAAAGCCUGAUCCAGCAAUGCCGCGUGAGUGGUGAAGACCUUAGGGUUGUAAAGCUCUUUUACCCGGGAUGAUAAUGACAGUACCGGGAGAAUAAGCUCCGGCUAACUCCGUG